rnacentral:snRNA from 1 species
AUGCUCACUUUGGCAGCACAUAUACUAAAAUUGGGACGAUACGAAGAAGAUUAUAAUGGCCCCUGCACAAGGAUGACAUGCAAAUUCAUAAAGCGGUCCAUAUUUUU